rnacentral:rRNA from 1 species
GACGAACGCUGGCGGCGUGCUUAACACAUGCAAGUCGAGCGGUAAGGCCUCUUCGGGGGUACACGAGCGGCGAACGGGUGAGUAACACGUGAGUAAUCUGCCCUUCACUCGCGGAUAAGCUUCGGAAACGGGGUCUAAUACGCGAUGUACACCGGGUCCUGCAUGGGGUUUGGUGGAAAGUGUUUAGCGGUGGGGGAUGUGCUCGCGGCCUAUCAGCUUGUUGGUGGGGUAAUGGCCUACCAAGGCGUCGACGGGUAGCCGGCCUGAGAGGGAGACCGGCCACACUGGGACUGAGACACGGCCCAGACUCCUACGGGAGGCAGCAGUGGGGAAUAUUGGACAAUGGGCGGAAGCCUGAUCCAGCAACGCCGCGUGAGGGAUGACGGCCUUCGGGUUGUAAACCUCUUUCAGUGUCGACGAAGCCUCGUUUUGGCGGGGUGACGGUAGGCGCAGAAGAAGCACCGGCCAACUACGUGCCAGCCGCCGCGGUAAUAC